rnacentral:rRNA from 1 species
AGAGUUUGAUCAUGGCUCAGGACGAACGCUGGCGGCGUGCCUAACACAUGCAAGUCGAACGAAGUCAAGAAGGAGCUUGCUUCAUCUUAACUUAGUGGCGGACGGGUGAGUAACGCGUGAGUAACCUGCCUUUCAGAGGGGGAUAACGUCUGGAAACGGACGAUAAUACCGCAUAACAUUUCGGAAUCACAUGGUUUUGAAAUCAAAGGAGCAAUCCGCUGAAAGAUGGACUCGCGUCCGAUUAGCUAGUUGGUGAGAUAAAAGCCCACCAAGGCGACGAUCGGUAGCCGGGUUGAGAGACUGAACGGCCACAUUGGGACUGAGACACGGCCCAGACUCCUACGGGAGGCAGCAGUGGGGGAUAUUGCACAAUGGAGGAAACUCUGAUGCAGCAACGCCGCGUGAGGGAAGACGGUUUUCGGAUUGUAAACCUCUGUCCUUAGGGAAGAUAAUGACGGUACCUAAGGAGGAAGCUCCGGCUAACUACGUGCCAGCAGCCGCGGUAAUACGUAGGGAGCAAGCGUUGUCCGGAUUUACUGGGUGUAAAGGGUGCGUAGGCGGCUUAGCAAGUCAGGCGUGAAAACUAUGGGCUUAACCCAUAGACUGCGUUUGAAACUGUUGAGCUUGAGUGAAGUAGAGGUAGGCGGAAUUCCCGGUGUAGCGGUGAAAUGCGUAGAGAUCGGGAGGAACACCAGUGGCGAAGGCGGCCUACUGGGCUUUAACUGACGCUGAGGCACGAAAGCAUGGGUAGCAAACAGGAUUAGAUACCCUGGUAGUCCAUGCUGUAAACGAUGAUUACUAGGUGUGGGGGGUCUGACCCCUUCCGUGCCGGAGUUAACACAAUAAGUAAUCCACCUGGGGAGUACGACCGCAAGGUUGAAACUCAAAGGAAUUGACGG